rnacentral:rRNA from 1 species
UCCGGUGAUGAUGGCUAUGUGGCUCCACCUGUUCCCAUUCCGAACACAGUAGUUAAGCACAUAAACGCCGAAAGUACUUGCUUGGAGACGAGCUGGGAGGAUAGGAAGUUGCCGGUU